GAAAAAUUUUACCUUAGUGCUAUUUCUUAUCCAACACACUCGUCAUGUGCUGGUUAGGUGCAAUACUGAACAUUCUUACACAAACAAAUAAUCUCUUGUGCCCUGACGUACAUCAAGUCUAAACAUCUGAUGCUCCAUUUGACUGACUAAUAAUUUAUGAUAUAUGUUUGUCUUUUACACCCGGACUCUGGCUCCUUCCUAUCUGACUCCCCACCAGACCCAAGGCUGUUAAAGCGAAUGCAUCUUGUCUUGGAAGCUUGGUGUUCCUUCCUUUGGAUAACAAGACAUGACGAUGCAGAAGUGAGAAAGCAAACAUUCUCACUCACAGUGAGAUAAGGUGGCGCAAACAAUUCCAUUGCUGCAGAGAGACAUUCCACCAGAGCCAGAGAAAGGGGUUAAAAGGCAGAAGCAACUUGAGGAUCGUGGGCUCUUUGCAUCACACCUCUGUGGUGUGUGCACUGAUCUCCCCAGCUGGUUUUUUGGUUUGUUGAUGUGCACGAUCAACAUCCAUGCUUUUUAUUUGCUUUCCCCAUUAUUUUUAUUUUCUUUAUUAUUUCAAUAAAUCGCACAAAAGGACAACUCUCUCUCAUCUACUUCUUUAUGGAAAAUUUCCACCACAGAAAUUGGCGUCUACGAACAGGAUCCGCUGCAGGUCGUCUGGACGGUGUGACCAGGGACGAUAGUUCUGAGGACUAGGGUCGCUCAGCCUCCAAAACUCUACAGCUGUUCUGAGUGGGAGGACUGCUCACCCGUCUGGAUCGCCUCUGACGAGAUCCAACGAACUCAAAAUCCAACCUCUACUUGGCCCCGUUCCACACGUCCCUCUGUGAAAACAUGAUGGAGACAGAUGACAGGACAUGGGUUCUUUCGUGAACAGAUGUCAAUGGGGUGGAGACUGGUGAACGACUUCUGACCCCAUGUGAGGUAUUUACCCACAUUACAUGCUUUUGUUUUUGUUUUUAUUUUUCAGAGGACGCUCUGACCCAACACUCAGCCUUACAGGAAGCCCUGGUUCCCUGUGGCUCACACACAGACAUGAUGUAGGUUUAAUGAGAGGAUGUGAACCAGUGCUCAUCACGACUAAAUCUGACCACAGACAAUUUAAACAACAUCACCCUCUGAAAGAACUCAUAGACAGCGUUACUGCAGACACCACUAAGCUACUGAAUCAUUGGAUUCUACAGGCCACAAGGAGCCUGUCUAAAUUACAGUUUGUUCAGACUAAGGUUAUUUUCUGGGUCAUUGUAAUUACAGCUGAUGGCAAAUCCAUCUCACCCAACAGAGUUAAAGCAAUGUGAAACCUGCCUAAACCGUGCAUGUAAAAACAGCUGAUGUCUUUUCUAGGUCUUUGUUCUUAUUGUAGGACUUUCGUUCGUAACUUUACUGUCUUUGAGGCCCCACUCAGGGUUCUGAUGCAGACGUCUUCAUCGUCCACUUCUUGUCUCACAUGGACGUCUGAGGCUGAACAACGUUCACUGACCUCAAGCUUACUCUUCAGUCGACUCCCACUUUGGGUCUUUCUGAUCUGACCCUACGCGACCUUUCACUCAAACAGUGGAUGAGAAAUCAGGUUGUACGACUUCUGUUCUUUUGUCCUCAUACUUAGAUUCUUUUGGAAUAGAUUACAUCUUUCUACAGCCCGAUGGCUUAGAUGCAACACCGCUUUGCUCAACAUGCUGAACGUUACUAUCAAGAGGCCGCCUUGAAGUCUGGCUUUGCUAAGACACUACUCUGCUCAGGCUGCAGAGUUGACCGCAUUGACUGAAGCUAGUAAACUAGCAGAAGGAGAGUCUGUUACCAUCUACAGACUCCACAGAUGCUCUGUAGAAGCAUAGGAAGCUUUUGAAGUCUGAUUGCAAACCUAUCUCACAUCAUGAUUAGGUUCUGCUUUGCUGGACGCUGUCCUGCCGCCUACAGCUAUUGCUGUUUGUAACUGUCCAACUCACACCAUCAGUGACGACUUUGUUUCUGCCGACAUGCAGCUGCAGACGCUGCUGCGAAGGUCACUGCCCAACAACCCCUCCCUCUCCUGAUCCUUGUUCCCUCUCUCCAACUCUCUCUAUCCAUUCCUUCCUCUCUCCCUGUGCUUUAAACAUUUUGUACCUCACAGGAACGCAGACUCUGGCAGACGAAUGGUUCCACCUGUAGCCAUGGAGUCUGGUUUGGGCCUGAUGGCAGCCGUGCCGCCCAAACACCUUUUCCCCAUAAUUCAGAUUUCCCAACAGGUGAAAACAGGCGACAGGACCAUUACACACCAUCCGACCAGGGCACUGGGCGAUCGUUAAGGAGUUCAGGAGGAAGCAUUGGGACUCCAAACGGUGGCAAGGUCCCUUCCAAGUCCUUCUGACGACCAACACGACUGUAAAGAUCGCAGAAAGAGUGACUUGGAUCCACUCCAUCCAGGAAGGUCCCGGAUCCAACAGACGACCCUCCAUUCACAUCCCACGGAGAAAACCACCACUAACGAAAAGAACUGAGAAGGACGACCCUCGCUGUGCUCACACAUGCACUGAGGCGAGGCUGCGUUAACCAUUCAGCUAAAGGUGCGAGCCAAGCGCCGCCUGAAGCUGCGUCGGUGAAUCACACUAUCAGACCAUACAUCUACACACACGCUCCUGAGAAAACACACACACGAGCAGCCUUGAGUUGCCGACGCUGGACGACGUGUAGACUCUUUACAUCACGGGAGUGACAGUGACUCAGACGACAUUGGGAGGAAACCUGGCGGUGAUAACGAAUCCCAAGUGUCUCUGUGAUCAGCUGAUCACAACCUGAAGAACCCCAACAAACUGUCAAUACUUCAACACACAGGUUGGAAACAAUCUAACGCUACUGUUCAACAGGACGAAGCAGAUUGUUACGAGACAUCAAUUGUAACCUUGUUGUGUUAGACUUCAUUUUAUGUUACAUGGAUUGUUGCCUUGAUCAUAUGAUGUUUCCUUGUAACUUUACACACUAUUUUUGAAUGAGAAAAUUCACAACAACAACAACACUGAGUUUAAAUAUCCUAAAGUUGAUUUGGUGUUUGAAUUGUUCACAAUCAUUUUAUUCACUGCUACAAAAAUUUUCUAUCCUUCAUCUACAGAUGAAAGACAAAACAAGCAACAAUAUGCAUCAUCAUUCUGGUUAAAUCCCUGAAUCUCCUAUUCGCUCCAGACGCAAAUGUACAAUUAAAGAUCCGAAAGCAUGAAAUCUAUUUUAAGAUUAUAUGAAACAGAACCCCACCGGAAACCUAUGGCUAUCAUACAUUAAUUGUCUUUAUUACAUUACAAUUGAAUGGCCGUAGACAUGUUGUUAGCAGAGAAAAGAGGCGUUUGUGUCAUGUUUGGAGACGCAUGUUGUACUUACAUCCUGAAUAACACUGAUUCUAAUGGUAUUGUGGCGAAGGCGCACCACGGCCUUCAGAAUUUCAGCUAACUCUGGUAUAGGUUCUUUCCCUUGAAAUUGGCUAGACGAAAUGUCUGGAAAAUGGAAAUCUGUUCUCAUGUCCGCAGCUGUUUCCUUUAUCAUUGAGAUGGCUGUGAUUCUCUUGUUUGGUUUUUGCGUUAUCCCACUGGUUAGAGGUCUCAUCAUGCGUGCGACCUCAGCAACACUCUCAUAUCAAAUGACACAAUGCACUAUGUUCAAAAACCCCAACUCUAACUCACUUAAUGACUUUGGCGAUGGUAUGGGCUCAUUUUCUUCACAUGCCGAUACAGAGGUUAUUCUUGUUUAACUACCCACCAAAAACAGCUCCCAACCUUUUAUUCCUAAGUUACUUGCAUUUUAUGUGAAGGUGUAUUUUUGAAUUUUGACUUAAUACACUUACUGUUUCAUUUGUAAGGGCUGUUACUACAAAAUGCAAUGUUUGAAAAAUUUUAUUAUUUUAGUGUUUGAUUAAUGUGUAAUCAAAAGGGGGGAAUGUAAUGGAAAAAUUUUACCUUAGUGCUAUUUCUUAUCCAACACACUCGUCAUGUGCUGGUUAGAUGCAAUACUGAACAUUCUUACACAAACAACUAAUCUCUUGUGCCCUGACGUACAUCAAGUCUAAACAUCUGAUGCUCCAUUUGACUGACUAAUAAUUUAUGAUAUAUGUUUGUCUUUUACACCCGGACUCUGGCUCCUUCCUAUCUGACUCCCCACCAGACCCAAGGCUGUUAAAGCGAAUGCAUCUUGUCUUGGAAGCUUGGUGUUCCUUCCUUUGGAUAACAAGACAUGACGAUGCAGAAGUGAGAAAGCAAACAUUCUCACUCACAGCGAGAUAAGGUGGCGCAAACAAUUCCAUUGCUGCAGAGAGACAUUCCACCAGAGCCAGAGAAAGGGGUUAAAAGGCAGAAGCAACUUGAGGAUCGUGGGCUCUUUGCAUCACACCUUCGUGGUGUGUGCACUGAUCUCCCCAGCUGGUUUUUUGGUUUGUUGAUGUCAACAUCCAUGCUUUUUAUUUGCUUUCCCCAUUAUUUUUAUUUUCUUUAUUAUUUCAAUAAAUCGCACAAAAGGACAACUCUCUCUCAUCUACUUCUUUAUGGAAAAUUUCCACCACAACUGCUGAACAGAACAAAAAAAAAAAAAAAAAAAAAGAAC